rnacentral:lncRNA from 10 species
GCCAAACAACCUGUUUUAAGAAUAAUAAAGCAGGCCUAGGACAGUUCCAUGUAAAGAGAACCUGAGGCUUUUCCCAAAUUUGCCAGCAACAUCAGUGAACCACAUUGGAAUGGGAUCCGAUAGCAUCUCUAAGUCUUUGGCUGCCUCGAGGCCUGGACAGCAUCCUGACUGUAACCUCGUGAGAGACCCUGAGCCAGAAUCGCUCCAACGAGCUGCUUCCAAAUUCCUGACUCAAAGAAACGUAACUGACCAACCCACUUUAGAAGACUCCUCCCUAGGGUCUCCUUGCCUCCAAACCGGAUCUCUUCUAAUCUGCCCUUCACAUUGAUUCCUGGGUAACUUCUCCUAAAACACAGAUGCCUGCUCCUGUGCCUUCCACCACAAAUGUAAGCCUCCAGAGGCCUCCCCAGAGGCAAAUGCCAGUGUUAUGCUUCCAGUACCUCCUGCAGAACCAUAACCCAAUUAAACUUCUUUUCUUAAU